GACGAACGCUGGCGGCGUGCUUAACACAUGCAAGUCGAACGGAAAGGCCCUGCUUUUGUGGGGUGCUCGAGUGGCGAACGGGUGAGUAACACGUGAGUAACCUGCCCUUGACUUUGGGAUAACUUCAGGAAACUGGGGCUAAUACCGGAUAGGAGCUCCUGCUGCAUGGUGGGGGUUGGAAAGUUUCGGCGGUUGGGGAUGGACUCGCGGCCUAUCAGCUUGUUGGUGGGGUAGUGGCUUACCAAGGCUUUGACGGGUAGCCGGCCCGAGAGGGUGACCGGCCACAUUGGGACUGAGAUACGGCCCAGACUCCUACGGGAGGCAGCAGUGGGGAAUAUUGCACAAUGGGCGGAAGCCUGAUGCAGCAACGCCGCGUGCGGGAUGACGGCCUUCGGGUUGUAAACCGCUUUCGCCUGUGACGAAGCGUGAGUGACGGUAAUGGGUAAAGAAGCACCGGCUAACUACGUG
rnacentral:rRNA from 1 species